rnacentral:rRNA from 1 species
UGCCAGCCGCCGCGGUAAUACGGAGGGGGUUAGCGUUAUCCGGAUUUAUUGGGCGUAAAGCGCGUCUAGGCGGAAAAGAAAGUCUGAUGUGAAAAUGCGGGGCUCAACUCCGUAUUGCGUUGGAAACUGCUUUUCUAGAGUACUGGAGAGGUGGGCGGAACUACAAGUGUAGAGGUGAAAUUCGUAGAUAUUUGUAGGAAUGCCGAUGGAGAAGUCAGCUCACUGGACAGAUACUGACGCUGAAGCGCGAAAGCGUGGGGAGCAAACAGGAUUAGAUA